GAUGAACGCUGGCGGCGUGCCUAAUACAUGCAAGUCGAGCGAACAGACGAGGAGCUUGCUCCUCUGACGUUAGCGGCGGACGGGUGAGUAACACGUGUAUAACCUACCUAUCAGACUGGGAUAACUUCGGGAAACCGGCUCUAAUCCCGUAUAAUCUAUUGCACCGCAUUGUUCAAUAGUGAAAGACGGUUUUGCUGUCACUUAUCGAUGGAUCCGGGCCUCAUUAGCUAGUUGGGAAGGUAACGGCUUACCAAGGCGACGAUGCGUAGCCGACGUGAGAGGGUGAUAGGCCACACUGGAACGGAGACACGGUCAAGACUACUACGGGAGGCAGCAGUAGGGAAGCGGACGCAAUGGGCGAAAGACUGACGGAGCAACGCCGAGUGAGUGAUGAAGGCCUUGGGAGCGUAAAAAUCGGUUAUGAGGGAAGAACAAAUGUGGAAGUAAAUAUGCACGGAGUGACGGUAACGAAUAAGAAAGCAACGGCUAACUACGUG
rnacentral:rRNA from 1 species